rnacentral:rRNA from 1 species
AGUCGUAACAAGGUACCGGUAGGUGAACCUGCCGGUGGAUCAAUACUGAAUAUAGACUCAAGUAGUUUUUUAUUCGGUGAUCAACCCCCUGCCUUUAAAACGGUUAUAAUUGGCGUCUAUACGUACUGCUAACGCUCGCGGACCGUCGACGUGUAUUGAUCAGUAUGCAUAGCAUUCAUUAACUCUCACAUAUAUACUUCGUUGUGUACAUGUGAGUGUUGAUGGAUGUUAGACUUAAUGAAGGUCCGCUCCGGAUUUCGCCAAUAUCAUAUUUAUUGUACCAUAAAACAAAGACUCAUUACUACUCCUAGUGGUGGAUCACUCGGCUCGCAGGUCGAUGAAGAACGCAGCUAGCUGCGAUAGUUGGUGCGAAUUGCAAACACAUUGAGCACUAAACUUUCGAACGCAUAUUGCGCCGUCGGUUUUUCCGUCGGCAGGUCUGUCUGAGGGUUACAAACAAGUACUUGCAAGAUAACGCUAGCAUGUUGCGUUAUUUUGUUUAGCGAGAAGCUCGGUGUGCAUGUGUGAUAUGUGCUAGUGUGUCACACAUGUGUCGUCCUUCUCUGGUUUGUCAUUCUCAUUGAUAUAUAAUCAUCUGAAUCACAAACACGUGCAAGUUGUGUUGGCUGGUGUUGGUUGAUGAUAUAAUAUCAUUUUGCAAUUGCAACCUCAGAUCAGUCCUGAUUACCCGCUGAACUUAAGCAUAUCAGU